AGACGUCUACAUUAGACUACCCGGUAGUCCCAGCCGUAAACUAUGCGCGUUAGGUGUAUCGGUGACCACGAGUUACCGAGGUGCCGAAGGGAAACCGUGAAACGUGCCGCCUGGGAAGUACGGUCGCAAGGCUGAAACUUAAGGAAUUGGCGGGGGAGCACCACAACAGGUGGAGCCUGCGGUUUAAUUGGACUCAACGCCGGGAAGCUCACCGGAUAGGACAGCAGAAUGAUUGCCGGGCUGAAGACCCUGCAUGACUAGCUG
rnacentral:rRNA from 1 species